rnacentral:rRNA from 1 species
UACAGAGGGGGCAAGCGUUGUUCGGAAUUACUGGGCGUAAAGGGCGCGUAGGCGGCCUGUUAAGUCGAACGUGAAAUCCCCGGGCUCAACCCGGGAACUGCGUCCGAAACUGGCAGGCUUGAAUCCGGGAGAGGGAUGCGGAAUUCCAGGUGUAGCGGUGAAAUGCGUAGAUAUCUGGAGGAACAUCGGUGGCGAAGGCGGCAUCCUGGACCGGGAUUGACGCUGAGGCGCGAAAGCCAGGGGAGCAAACGGG